CAAUGGUUGAACUAAUUUAGACGUCCAUUGACGGCGUAGAGGUUAAUCCUAAGAAUGGUUACAUGAGCUUGGAAGGAGACCCUUCCGCAGCUGAGCCUUAGCCUGGGCCAUCACCUACAUCUGGACUGAAGACCCAGAGAAACUACUCCAUCAGGAAUUGUUUGGGACCAUGCAUUCUGUUGCCCACAGCCAACCCGAAAGCCACCAAGGUAGCAGUACUCCUGUGAACCACGUCUGAGUGGAGUAAUGAUGGCACCACAUUCCAGCCUGCAUGGGUAUUGGCCUGAGUGCUCCCGCCUCAUGAAAUUCAGCCACCUCUUUCUCCAGUCAGUUCCAUCUUCUCAACUCCGACUGUCUUCCAGAGUCCGUGUCACACCACAGCCUGGAAACUCUCCCCAAGCAGUAACCUGAAGCAACAUUACUCCAUCAUUACUGUACCACCGCCUAUAUGGAUGUAAUUGUCAGUGUGAUGCUGAGUAAGGAACAACGUGCACCAGACUCACAGAGAAAAAUGGACAAGCGAGCUGGCCUUUGUAUCACUAAAGGGAAGGUUGGAGGGCAGUGGCGUGAACAAAGCUCACUGCAGCCUCGAACUCUUCGGCUGGAAUGAUCUUCCACCUCAGCGUCUUGAGUAGAUGGGACUGCAGGCAUGUGCCACCACAUCUGGGUUUGGAAUAAUUCAUCAGUGUAAUCUUCUCAACCUGGUCAAUCACAUGAACUUAGAAGAUGAUUCCUCCCCAGCUGAUCCUUCAGGUGAGACCUCAGCCUUUGCAGUCAUCUACAUGUAGAUUCCUGACCCAGAGAAACUGUGAGUAAUUUGUGUAUGCUUUUGAGCCACUAAGCUAUGAGGUAAUUGGCUAUGCUGCAAUAAACAAUAAUACACUUGAUGGUAAACAUAGUAUGUUAUCCUUGAUUAGAUCCAAAAAAAUGAAAAAUGGCAUUAGUGGAAAACCUGGUAAAAUAUGAAGACAGUCAGUACUUUAGUUAAUAGUUUUGUGCCUUUGUCAGUUUGUGAGUUUUCACAGAUAGUCUAUGGUUAUGUGUAUGAUAUUAAUGUUGCAGGAAAUUGAAGGGUAUAUCCAAAUUUUGUAAGAUUUUAACAACUCUCUAUAAAUCUAAAAUUAUUUCAAAAUAAAUAGAAGUGUAGACAUGGCUCAUAUAUUUGAGAUCAGGUCUUCCUCUUAACUUAAUUAAGCUUUCAUGGAGUUUUAACUCAUGGUACAAAUGCAAUAACAUUAUAAAAUAUAAAUGAGAUGAGUUUCUAUUUUACUCACUCUAUUCUUCAGGGAACACUAAAGUCCAUUCUUCUUCUCAAGUAUCCAAAACUCAAGUUGAUCCAAGUAACAAGUGGACAGCAUAAAAGAUUGUAUGAAAACCAUAAUGCAUCUACAUCUUCAGUUACUAAUCAUAAAAUGAUUUGUAUGAUCAUUCUUCACAUGAUUAGAAUGACUAUGGGAAAGAAGAAAAAGAAAUGCAACUUUCUUGAUUUAAAAAUCGUAUCUGUGCAAGAGUGAUGGCAUACCCCUGUAGUCAGUCCCAGCUGCUAGGGAGGGUUGUUAGGAUGAUCAUGUGAUACCAGGAGUCUGAGUCUGUGUAGUGUGCUAUGAUUGUGCCAGUGAAUAACCAUGCACUCCAGCCUGGGCAACAUAGUGAAUCCCCGUUAAAUAAAUUAAUUAAAUUAAUACAUAAAUAAGUUACAGAGAUCAUUGUUUACAUUUCUAUUAUUAGGGCUCAAAUCCUUUAGAUA